rnacentral:rRNA from 1 species
GAUGAACGCUGGCGGCGUGCCUAAUACAUGCAAGUCGAGCGAACAGACGAGGAGCUUGCUCCUCUGACGUUAGCGGCGGACGGGUGAGUAACACGUGGAUAACCUACCUAUAAGACUGGGAUAACUUCGGGAAACCGGAGCUAAUACCGGAUAACAUGUUGAACCGCAUGGUUCAACAGUGAAAGACGGUCUUGCUGUCACUUAUAGAUGGAUCCGCGCCGCAUUAGCUAGUUGGUAAGGUAACGGCUUACCAAGGCAACGAUGCGUAGCCGACCUGAGAGGGUGAUCGGCCACACUGGAACGGAGACACGGUCCAGACUCCUACGGGAGGCAGCAGUAGGGAAUCUGCCGCAAUGGGCGAAAGCCUGACGGAGCAACGCCGCGUGAGUGACGAAGGUCUUCGGAGCGUAAAACUCGGUUAUUAGGGAAGAACAAAUGUGUAAGUAACUAUGCACGUCUUGACGGUACCUAAUCAGAAAGCCACGGCUAACUACGUG